rnacentral:ncRNA from 1 species
UAUAAUCAUUCAGAGAGGACUGACGUCCUGCCAACCUGCAUUUUCCGGCAAGGUGGUUACCUCAUUUGAGGGAUGAGACCGUAGGGUAACCAAAGGAUCAUUG